UCGGGUUGUAAAGCACUUUUGUCCGGAAAGAAAACUUCUGCCCUAAUACGGCGGGAGGAUGACGGUACCGGAAGAAUAAGCACCGGCUAACUACGUGCCAGCAGCGCGGUAAUCGUAGGGUGCGAGCGUUAAUCGGAAUUACUGGGCGUAAAGCGUGCGCAGGCGGUUCGUUAAGACAGAUGUGAAAUCCCCGGGCUUAACCUGGGAACUGCAUUUGUGACUGGCGAGCUAGAGUAUGGCAGAGGGGGGUAGAAUUCCACGUGUAGCAGUGAAAUGCGUAUAGAUGUGGAGGAAUACCGAUGGCGAAGGCAGCCCCCUGGGCCAAUACUGACGCUCAUGCACGAAAGCGUGGGGAGCAAACAGGAUUAGAUACCCUGGUAGUCCACGCCCUAAACGAUGUCAACUAGUUGUUGGGGAUUCAUUUCCUUAGUAACGUAGCUAACGCGUGAAGUUGACCGCCUGGGGAGUACGGUCGCAAGAUUAAAACUCUAACGAAUUGACGGGGACCCGCACAAGCGGUGGAUGAUGUGGAUUAAUUCGAUGCACCGCGAAAAACCUUACCUACCCUUGACCUGGUCGGAACCCUGCUG
rnacentral:rRNA from 1 species